UCUUUUUGUUUGAAAGCGCAUCCCGAACAGAUCAAAAUUUGACCCUUGUUAAACCCUUUUUUUUUUUCUUCAAUUAAAAUUAAUAUUUUAACGCCAAUCCUGGAAAUAGGCAGCGCCGUCGGGCCUGUUUCGGUUCUUUUCAGGAUGGCUUGCGCAUGAUGCCUUUCCGUCACUUGUUAAGGAUAAUUGGUUGACUAAUGGUAUGCUUAGGGAAUCAAUUGAGCGAUUUACUCAGGCUGCGAGGAAAUGGAAUAGAAACGUCUAUGCGCAAAUUACGCAGAGGAAAGAGAAGUUGAUGCGGCGAAUUGCUUGGAUACAAACGGCGUUGGAGUUCCAGAAAUUGGAACGACUCACUCAUCUUGAACGAGACUUACGGGGGGGAACUAGAGAUUACCUUAGAUCAAGAGGAACAUGAAAUAUUUCCAUGGUCGUGCUUCCUCGAGACGUCGACAUAAUAAAAUUAAAGCCCUUGAGCUGUCGAAUGGUGAUUGGCGCUUUGAUGAGGAAUAGUUAAAGGGGUUAGCAGUUUCCUUCUUCCAAUAGUUAUAUACGGUGGACAACCCAUGCAUGAGAAAUAUCUUGUUCGGGGUCAGUGGAGGAGCCACGUUGAGGCCCAGGGGUAUGGCGUCCCAAAGUUUAAUUUUUUUCAAUUUAGUCCUUUGUAAAUUUACACUAUGGUCCUCUCAAAAAUAUAAGUAGAACCCUAAGAUUUAAGAUUUUUGCAAUUUUCCCCUUUGUAUAUAUAUUAUAGCCCUUCUAAAAAUAUAAGUAGGCCC
rnacentral:lncRNA from 1 species